AGUUCUGCGUCUGACAUGAACAUCAAAAAUGUUCGGAGGCUUAUGCAAUCAAAAUAGGACUUCUAUUUUAUCGUAAAGACAGGAGUCACGAUUUUUUGAUGUGAAUAAAAACACACAACACAUACAAAUGUAAUUUUUAAAAAUUUUAA